UAGAGAACUAGUAGUCACUUAGAAAAGCGAGGGGGCGUCUUAGAUAUUUUACCUUUUCCUCUGAAUUACAUACAGUGAGUUCGUUGCUAUUGGGGGAGGGGAUGUUUGAGAGUAACCGCCUCGCUCGUUCCCACGAGGAGAAUCCAUUCCUUCAGUUCUGGCAAAAGGAGUUGUUACAUAUAUGCGAUGUUUGGAACAUGGAGUCUCAAAUUUGAGGAAACAAGAAAUUUCUCUUAGAGGAUAACCAGGUAACCUUUAAAAUAGUUUGUAAAAGUAGGAAAGAAUAAAAUAAGUGGUCCACAUGGGGGUAUAAUGACUUGAUUCAUUGCUAAGCUAGGCCACUAUGUUGAACAAACCGUACAUUUUAAUGCUGGUCUAUAAAGAUGGAUUCAUAUACUAGUCACCAAAAUCGAACUAUGUUAUGGCUGUAGUUUGUUAGCUGCAAACUAGGCCAGUGAAUUGCUGGCAAUUGUGUGGUUUUGGCAGCUAAAUAAAGCAGCACUGUGAGAACUUAUAAACUUGUCCUUCUGAAUGCAUAUUGUCAGGUUGUUCACGCAGAUACAAAAUGUUUUGUGUAAAUCGGCUUAAUUAUUAGGAUGUUGUAUAUGGUGUAUCACCCAUAGAAAACUAUUUGUAUCGUAUUUGCACAUACUGCUAUUGUUCUGAAUUUUAUGGCAAUCUCUUUAUAGCCUUUAGACAGAUCCCACAUAGGCAGUAGUUAAUUCUCUAAACUGUACUCUGCUGUUCCUUACCACCAAAAACUAAAGCAUAUCGCACUUAAAAAGCACCACCUGUGUGUUGACAUUAAAAAAUAAUUUAUAGAAGAAACAGUAUGAAAUGAAGUCUUAUGCUUUUCAAAAAUUGAUAACAGAUAAAACCUUUUUGUUCCUUGGGUAUGUUUUUAAAAGUUUGAACAUUCACGUUGUGGACUUUUCACCAACAUUUCAUUUUCCAUCUGUUUUAAAACUGUUCUUAAUUUUACCCCCUUGUAAUAGAAGGCAAUGUAUUUUCCUGAUUUGUGUUU